GGAGCGGUUGCAGCCGGCCCGAUGCCCACCCCGGCUCAUCGCGGCUGCUCCUCCGGGUCCCGUCGCAGCGCCGCUGGCGGAGGCUGGGAAGAUCCAGCGCCGCCCGCCCGGCCUCUGGGCAGUGGACUAAGGGGCUCCGCGUUGCGAGAAGUCGGCUGACUGAGAGCUGGGCUCGCCACACCCGGUCUCGGGAGACGUCUGCGGGAGGCUUCUGCAUCUCUUCGCCUUGGGCUGCGAUUUCUAGGGCGCUGCCGGGGAUCCACUCCGUGCUCUGAGCCGGGCCUGCUGGGGCGGGAGAGCGCUCGGGAGCCCCUCGGGUGGGAGCAGGGGCCGGGGGUGUUCAGGAAAGGUGUUGCGGGGGAAAAGGAAUCUUCACUAUUGAGAACGGUGUCUAGGGAUCUGAAUAGACCUGUUGGAGGAAGUGAAAUCUGAGCGGAGCCCUGAGGGGGGCGGCUAAUCUCCGGCAGCUGUGGGCAUUGGACGAGUAGAGGGAGGGAAAGGGGACCUCUGGAGAAGGAGACCUUGAGCCUCGCGCUGGAGGUGUACUCAGCAGGUCCCUGAUGAACCAAGGGAACCCUCCACCGUAUCCAGGGCCCGGUCCGACGGCUCCGUACCCACCUUAUCCACAGCAGCCGAUGGGGCCUGAGGGCUACCCUCCAGGACCUAUGGGGGGACCCUACCCACCUCCUCAGGGGUACCCCUACCAAGGAUACCCACAGUACGGCUGGCCGGGCGGACCUCAGGAGCCUCCUAAAAGCACAGUGUACGUGGAGCAGGAAAGGAAGACGGACGACACCGGGUGUCUGGCGGCCCUGGCCGCGUGCUGGGCUGCUCUCUGCUGCUGCUGCCUCCUGGACAACUUGGACUGAGCAGCCGAGACCCAAGUGCUCCCUGCAGGCCUGCCUACCUUCUGUUACUGGAAUAAACUACUAGUGCUGCA